UGGGGAAUUUUGGACGAAUUGGGGGCAACCGUGAUCCAGCAAUGCCGCGUGUGUGAAGAAGGCCUUCGGGUUGUAAAGCACUUUUGUCCGGAAAGAAAACGUCGUGGUUAAUACCCGUGGCGGCUGACGGUACCGGAAGAAUAAGCACCGGCUAACUACGUGCCAGCAGCCGCGGUAAUACGUAGGGUGCAAGCGUUAAUCGGAAUUACUGGGCGUAAAGCGUGCGCAGGCGGUCCGCUAAGACAGAUGUGAAAUCCCCGGGCUUAACCUGGGAACUGCAUUUGUGACUGGCGGGCUAGAGUAUGGCAGAGGGGGUAGAAUUCCACGUGUAGCAGUGAAAUGCGUAGAGAUGUGGAGGAAUACCGAUGGCGAAGGCAGCCCCCUGGGCCAAUACUGACGCUCAUGCACGAAAGCGUGGGGAGCAAACAGGAUUCAGAUACCCUGGUAGUCCACGCCCUAAACGAUGUC
rnacentral:rRNA from 1 species